rnacentral:piRNA from 1 species
UAAGAUGAUUCACCCAAAUCAGGCUCC